rnacentral:snoRNA from 1 species
UUACUAUGAUGAAAUGAAAUUUCCAGUUCUGCUUCUGAAAAUACAAAUGAAGCCAUUAACCACUCUGAUAA